rnacentral:lncRNA from 1 species
CGCGGCUCAGGUUGCGAGGCGGCAGCCCCCGGCCCGCCUCCCCUGCUUCCUGCCCACCUCCCCGGGCGGAGAGCACCGGCCCGGCCGCCUCCUCCGUCCCCUCCCCGUCCCCGUCCCUCUCCCUUCCCUCCCGGCCCCGCUGCCAGGGGCGAAGCCGCCCGCCGGGCCCCGCGCAGCUGCUGUGGCAGAGGAUUGGAUGCUUCCACCAGGAGAAGCCUAAACUCUUGGAAGUGCUUUUCCAGUUGCAAAGAAGGCAUUUGACUGUGGUGCCCAUCCCUGUUUUAUAGCAUGAGAAGAUGACAUGGGAGAUAGAUGUUUCUAAGAUAAGUCAGUGAGUUAAAAGUCAAAGUUCAGUUUUUAAGUUCUGUAAGACAGCAGUUAUUUCUGUCGAGAGUGAAGAGAAAUCUUCUCUUUAAAGUAAGUUCUGCUAUUUUAAUAAUGUUUUUUAAGAUUUUCUUUAUAACCGUUUUAAGUAGGCUGCUAGGUU